rnacentral:lncRNA from 1 species
AACUUGGUGAACUGCUUCAACUGGGAGCUCCCAACUGGCAUGUUGCCUAAAGACUUGGACAUGACUGAAAAGUUCGGCUUAUCGUUGUCGAAAGCCAAACACUUGCUUGCCAUGCCGACGCACCGCCUAUAAAAUCGACCUUCACACACAAACACACAGAUGGUGUGUCUAGGCAUAAAUAAACACACACACACACACACACAGAUGGUGUGUCCAGGCAUAAAUAAACAGUACUUAACUGUAUACUUUGGAUUUUAAUUUUUAGUCAAUAUGGAACUUUAUUAAGACAAGAAAAUGUUACAGAAACAAAAAUAUUACCCAAUAAUUUGAAUUGAUGAAAGUGGCUUAUAACUUAGUUGGUUAAUUAAGAGCAUUCACUUUGCACUCGAGGUUAAAUGUUUGAAUUCCCCUUCCUAAGUUCAAUAUAGAUUGUCCUAUCCUUUUAAAAAGUUAAUAAUAAUUUGGACUGGUAUUGGAUAUAACCUUCCUACUAAAAGAAAGCACACAACACAGUUCUACCGUUCCAAGUAUAAAAGUUUCCUAAAGAAAAUAAAGCAACUUUCAGCAUUACCUAAGAGCAACUCCAGCGUAUCAAGCUCCCCUAGGGUAACUUCCUAUUGAAUAGCUUACAGUGAACAGUAACUGUAUUUAAUGAACAGUAAUUGCCUUUUGCAUCUCCACCCCUAAACUGAAUAGCUAUGACAAUAUGCAAUAAAAAAUUAAUAUUUUUUAUUUUAUAAAAUAAUAAAAAAUAAUUUUAUUUCAAAUUUCGGAUAUGAUUUUUAAUUAGUCUCGUUGUACUACAUUUCAUUAAAUAAGAAAUUACAACCCAAAGUAUUUGAGAAAAUAUAAAAUUAUGGUGUAAGAUGGAAGAUAAUGAUAAGAUAUUUAUAAAAAAAUAAAAUCUUUUUUUUUUAAUUUUUUUCAGAUUUUUUAUUAAUUGUUUACAUUUUUUAUAAAAUUUUUAUUAAUUUUUAAUUUUAUUAAUUUUAUAAUGUGGCUGACGUUAACUAUGCAUCAUUUGGCCUCAAGCUCUCGAGCUACCAAUUACAGUCGGGCCUCCAAUUGGAGCCGAGCUUCUCACUUGGGCCCCCCCUCGACCCACACGCCCACAUGGGUUGGAGCAAGCAGCUCGGGCUAUUGGGUAGAAAAAAUCAAAGGUCCAUCGAGCUAUUGGUCCCGGUGGAGACGCCUAAAACAAAAGGAGGCCUGAAGUAAAAGUUUCAUAAUGAAGUUUAUGCAUCAGAGAACUUUAGACUUAUUAUUAUAAAUGUAUUGCCAAAACACUACCAAUGCACUAUUUCAGCGUUACAUGUUACUGCUAAAACACUACAAAUGCCCUUCAAAGGUACUAACCAAAUAAUUUCUAAAUACAAUCAUUUCAAGGUGUCAUUUGAAAAGUUCUUCAAAUAUAUUACAUUUAGGCUUAUUUUUAGCCAUGUUUUUUUAAACUUCAUUUUAAUCUCAUUUUGCUUCUUGUAAUUAAAAAAUUGUCACUUUACUCCAUGAAACUCAUAAUUCGCUCUAGUUUAUACAUAAUCAUUGUUAAUUUCAACUAACGAAGAUUAAUUAACUAUCAAAUCUCGUAUCCAAUAGAAUGUUGGGUAUGCCACUUAGUACUACAGUCUAGUGGUAUUUAUCUUUACUUGUAAGUGAGAGGUCUUAGGUUUGAUUCUCGCUAAAUGUUACAUCCCACAUCGCUCAGGGGAGUGGAUCCUCUAAGCCUUAUAUGUAUAUUCUCAUCUCUACCUAGCACGAGGCCUUUUGGGAACUCACUGGCUUCGGGUUCCAUCAGAACUCCGAAGUUAAGCGAGAUCGUGAGAGAGCAAUCUCAUGAUGGGUGACCCACUGAGAAGUUAUCGUGUGAGUUCCCAGAAACAAAAUCGUGAGGGCGUGAUGGGGCCUAAAGCGGACAAUAUCGUGCUACGGCGGAGUUGUGCUCAGGAUGUAGUAGGGGCUCGGGUUGGGAUGUGACACUAAAGGUUAAUUUGAAUCAUAUUAUUGCUAGCUAUUAUGAGGCUAAGCCCAUCCCUUCCUCUUAGUGUAGAUAAUAUCGUUUGUUCAAAAGAAAAAAAAAAAUGUUGAGUAUCCUAUCCAAUUUUUUUAGGGGUGCAGAUAUUUUUAUAAUUGCAAACAUUUAUUUUAUAGCAUAUACAAUUGUUUCUACAAAAUAACUAAUGUAAUUAAACAUUAUGUAGAUUAAUCUUUAGUUGCAUCUUAUUUCAUUUGCUUGGGCCAUGAGGUAAAUCAAUCAUUUGUCUUAGGGGGGUCUGAAUUUAAACCUCUCAUACCUGCCAAAAGACUCAUGCCUAAUGCGAAAUUCCGUCCUUGAGUUUUAUUAUUUACGGCGUAGAAUAUUUUUCAAAAAGUGUAAAAAAAUGAAAAUACUUUUAAUGUGCUAAACGGGAUUUUACAUGAACGUAUUUGAUCAUUUCAUGUUUUUCUGCAUUUCUUAACAUAUUUAAAUAAUACAUGUCGCUACCAAUGAUGGGUGGUUCAAGUGAUAAGGAGCUUGUUCCUCUUAAACAAAAUCUUAAGUUUGAACUUUAAGAAUAAAGAAGCCAAUAAUAGAAGAGCUUGCCUCGAAUAGGAUCCAAUCUGGGUCGAGGGAUUAGUCCCACCUCGUGCGGGGAUGCCUGAAUUCAUCCAAUGAAAAAUAAUACGGAUCGCUAACGAAAAACAAAACUUGAAACGCCAAGGGUAUUUCGUCAUUUUCCAUUUAUUGGAAACACAUGCGGCCUUAUUUUGUGUGCCACGUGAGAACCACCCCACUUUUUGGAAAACUCUCUAUAGGCCAAGCUUUGGAAACACAUGCGGACAUAAAACGGGAGUUUACGUUAUGAAGAUUAAUCGCCAUAAUUGCAAAAAUUUAUUUUAUAGCAUAUACAAUUGUGUCCACAAAAUAACUAAUAUAAUUAAACAUUAUGAAGAUUAAUCGCCAUGUGGUAAAUCAAUCAUUUGUCUUGGUGGGUUUGAAUUUAAUCCUCUCAUGCCUACCAAAACAUUCAUGCCUAAUGUGAAAUCCUAUCCUUGAAUUUUAUUAUUUACGGAGUAAAUUUUUUUCAAAAGGUGUAAAAGGACGAAAAUGCUUCUAUUGUGCUCAACGGGAGUUUACGUUAAUGUAUUUCAUCAUUUCAUGUUUUUCCACAUUUCUCAGCAUAUUUAAAUGAGAAUUUUAACAAAAAACUCCCGGUACUGUUCAUUUUAACGAAAAACCAUAUUUUUACACUAAAAAGUCAAUCUUGAAACUAUUCACUUUACCCUUUAUUUUGUCAUUUUCGUUAAAACUCAAAGUUUUCAAAUCUUUUUCAUUAGUUUUCCUUAUUUAAAUAAUACGUGUCGCUAUGAAGGCGUAUCGCAAUCUAAAAGUAACUCAAAGCUAUAACAAAACUUGAAAUUUCGUCAUUUUACAUUUAUUGGAAGCACAUUUGGUUAUGGAAAACUCUCUCUCGGUCAAUCUCUUCCCGUCUAUCAUCUCUCACAUUUUCUCUCUACCCCUCUCUUUGUCCAAACAAAAAGUCCACCACACCAUUUUCUGACGAAUUUCUUACACCAAAAUCACCAUAUUUGUGAUCGUCUCACUCCCACAAACCCAGUGAUGGGUUUUGUUUCAUGAAAAACCGAAGAAAAACGGAGGUUCUGGAGCUUCGAAACGGACCGACACCAUCCUAGCCAAUUCCUGCCAGGGUGAGACCUCUAACCACCAUAUUUGGAUUACUCUCGUUGAAUAGAUGAAUUUUCAUAUAUGGAUCGUGGAAUUUAGUUAAGAACUGAGUGAGAUAUGAGCGUUUAAAUUUCUCCUCUGCAGAGUGCAGACGCACAAACCAAACCCAAGGGCGCCAACUGCACUACAUUUACGUUCAACAGUAGCACAAUAUUGAAUCCAUAUCCAUCAAUUUCAGUCAACUUUCGUACUACCAUUCGUCAUUAAGUUACUUCAACAAACUUUAUAAAGAUUGCACGUAGCUACUUAGGCACGAAGGAAUCUGGUGAGUUUCACUCUCACUCUUAACAGUUUAAUUAGUUUAAAGUUGAAAUAUUGCUUAUAUAAAAUAAGAGAAUUGUUAUUGGUAUUCAAAAAAUCUUAUUUUGCAUGCCAAAUUUUCUAUAAAUAAAAAGAAAAAUAUACUUGUAAGAAACGCGAAAUGAGAUUUUAUUACUGCUAUUAACAAUUCCGUAAAAAUUUUUUGUAACUUUGAUUUUUUCUGUUGGUAAAAUUUUGUUUUGCUUGUACUAGGGUAAAGUACCCAUUUUCACAUACAUGAUUGGACUCCAUUUGGUAAUAUUUUAAUCAGCCGUUGGAUCAUGAAUCAUUCUCUAUAAGUAUCCAACUAUAUGAGUCUAUGUCCAAACGUCCCAUUUCUCGAUCUCACCCAGAAAUCAAGAAAAAAAUGAGUCCUUCAGAAAUAACCAUCCUAAUCCUUGUCUUCCUUACCUUCUUAUGGUCUCUUCUCCGCAUCCUAAUCAACGCCUCCUCAAGGCAAAGCCAAAAACUGCCUCCUGGCCCUAUGGCUCUGCCAAUCAUUGGCAAUCUUCAUAUGCUAGGCAACCUCCCACACCGCAGCCUCCAGAACCUAGCCAAAAAGUACGGACCCAUAAUGUCCAUGCGCCUAGGAAGCAAAACCACCAUAGUAGUCUCAUCCCCCAAAGCCGCUGAGUUAUUCCUUAAAACCCAUGACACCAUUUUCGCUAGCCGCCCCCAAGUCCAAGCCUCCAAGUACAUGUCGUACGACACGAAGGCCAUGGCCUUUUCUGAAUAUGGUCCAUAUUGGCGCCAUGUUCGAAAGCUCUGCACGCUUCAACUUCUUUCUCCUUUGAGAAUCGAGGCUUUCGCUCCGCUGAGAAGGGAGGAGGUAGGGUUGUUGGUGCAGUCCCUAAAGGUAGCCGCAGAGGCGGGUGAGGUGGUAGAUCUUAGUGAGAAAGUCGGUGAGCUUGUUGUGGGAAUCACGUACAGGAUGGUGUUGGGGAGGAAAAAUAAUGAUAUGUUUGAUCUCAAGGGGAUUAUAGAGGAGGUCAUGUUCUUGUCAGGAGCUUUCAACAUGGGUGAUUAUGUGCCUUUCCUUGUUCCACUUGAUGUUCAGGUAUGUUACCCUUCAUCCUUAAUUACCAAAAAUGUUACAUGCAUGAAUCAACAAUAAAACUAGAGAAAUGCUAGCAAGAUCAUAAAAUAGAAACAUUUAGAAUCACUGCUUGCACGUUACUGAUCCUGAAAUGCUAAAGAACAAACAAAAGACGUUUGAAAUAAGUAAAUGCAAGUAUGAGCAAUUGAGCUUAACACUGUCCUCAUGAAAAAAUUUAGAUGGAUGGUACAUUAACAGGAACAGAAGUAGUGUCAACAAAGUAAAGUGAACAAGGUGAAUCCAUAGUUUAGUGGAUUAGCUGUUUACGUUGGCCGGCUGGUUUUCAUCGUCUGUUUGUUGGUGACAUGAUUCACAAGUCGCAUCCACAAACUGCUAAAAAAGAGAUCAUAUCGUACACGUAUGGUCCAUUUCCAUAGGCUGCAAACAUUGAUAUUAUCACCGCUGAUGGCGGUGACACUGACACGGUUUCUUAUCUUAUGCUUAAUUUGGCUCCAUUGUCAAGUUUAAUUUGUCGACCGAAAAAGCGGGCAAGACGUAUUCAAUGCCGGCCGGGAUGUUCUAUUACAAUUAAUUAUUUUAGGAACCUUAAUUUUUGGCAGGCAACUGUAUACAAAUUAUAUGGUUGUUUUCUUUUAUCCUUCUUGGAAGACGUAAUAUUAAUAAGGAUUUUACCAUUAAAAGAGUCCCUUACAAAAAUUCAAAAAAUAAAAUGCCGGUAAUGAGUAGAUACAGAUUCUGAGGUUUAUAAUUAGUCAUGUUAGGGAGACUAAAUUUAUAGAUAAAAUUUGUAAAUAAAAUGAUGUGUUACAAAUAGAGAUGAGUACGUCGUUUAUCAAUGUUUAAGUAAUAAUCCAAUGAUCAACUUCUAUGUAUUUUAGUUUCCACAAUUUUGCUUACAAAUUUAGUCUCUCAAGCAUUAACCAUAUAACAAUAAUGUUAUUGAAAUUAAACUCAACUUACUUGAUUAUUAUAUAUAUGUAUGAAUCAAACUAACCAUAACCAAUGUGAAAAGCCUUUGUAUUAGAUAAUGCUAGGUAGUCCAAAUUUUAAACAAAAUUUUAUAAGUCAUAUGACGUAGUUGUUGAUAAUUGAAUUAUUACUUAAAUGUUGAUUAACGUACUUAUUUCAUAUUGAUGACACGUCAUAUGGUAUGCAAAUUUAGUCUCAAAACUUUGUUUACUUACCAUUAUUCUUUUUGUAGUAAGGGUUGGCACGUGAUCCCGUGUAAGAUUGCCGCCAUGUGACCAUCCUCACCCAAAAGUUACUCCUAAAUUACAAGAUGUAAAAGAUUUUAUAUAUGCAUGCAUGUCUUGAUGACCAUUACAUUGCCUAGAUUAAAAUAGCGAUAGCUAUAGAGUACUCAAGUAGAAGACUAGUACAUAUAUUGAUUGGAUUGCAUGGAAUCUUAACUACUUCCUCUUAGGGAUUGACCAAGCGCAUGAAGAGAAUUAGCAAGACUGUGGACCAACUAUUCGAAAAGAUAAUUCAGGAUCAUGAACAAGUUUCUAGAAGUGAGCAAGUACAAGGCAAUCAUCAUAAGGACUUUGUAGACGUGCUGCUUUCAUUAAUCCACCAACCAUUAAACCCCAACGAUGAGGAAGUAUACAUGUUCGAACGAACAAAUGCCAAAGCCAUUUUACUCGAUAUGAUUUCUGGUUCCUUUGACACUUCAGCCACGGCAAUCGUCUGGACCCUGGCCGAACUCUUGAGGCACCCGGAAGUUAUGAAACGUCUCCAAAAAGAGCUCCAAAGUGUGGUCGGGAUGGAUCGAAUGGUUGAAGAAAGUGAUUUGCCAAAGCUGGAUUACUUGAGCAUGGUGGUCAAGGAGAGCUUCAGGCUACACCCUGUUGGACCAUUACUUAUCCCUCAUCAAUCCAUGGAGGACGUUAUAGUUGAUGGAUAUCACAUACCCAAGAAAUCAAGAGUCUUCAUCAAUAUUUGGACCAUUGGGAGAGAUCCAAAUGUAUGGUCAGAUAAUGUGGAAGAAUUCUACCCUGAAAGGUUUAUGAAUAGUAACGUUGACUUGGACAGGACUUCCAGCUCAUACCAUUUGGGUCUGGUCGAAGAGGGUGCCCUGCUAUGCAGUUAGGGUUGACCACAGUUCGUCUAGCUCUGGGAAACUUGGUGCACUGCUUCAACUGGGAGCUCCCAACUGGCAUGCUGCCUAAAGACUUGGACAUGACUGAAAAGUUCGGCUUAUCGUUGUCGAAAGCCAAACACUUGCUUGCCAUGCCGACGCACCGCCUAUAAAAUCGACCUUCACACACACACACAGAUGGUGUGUCUAGGCAUAAAUAAACACACACACACACACACCCACACACACAGAGAUGGUGUGUAUAGGCAUAAAUAAACAGUACUUAACUGUAUACUUUGGAUUUUAAUUUUUAGUCAAUUUGGAACU